CCUACGGGUGGCAGCAGUGAGGAAUAUUGGUCAAUGGGCGCGAGCCUGAACCAGCCAAGUAGCGUGAAGGAUGACUGCCCUACGGGUUGUAAACUUCUUUUAUAUGGGAAUAAAAUGUUCCACGUGUGGGUUUUUGCAUGUACCAUAUGAAUAAGGAUCGGCUAAUUCCGUGCCAGCAGCCGCGGUAAUACGGAGGAUCCGAGCGUUAUCCGGAUUUAUUGGGUUUAAAGGGUGCGUAGGCGGGCUUUUAAGUCAGCGGUAAAAUUUCGGGGCUCAACCCUGUCCGGCCGUUGAAACUGGGGGGCUUGAGUGGGCGAGAAGAAGGCGGAAUGCGUGGUGUAGCGGUGAAAUGCAUAGAUAUCACGCAGAACCCCGAUUGCGAAGGCAGCCUUCCGUCGCCCUACUGACGCUGAGGCACGAAGGUGCGGGGAUCGAACAGGAUUAGAUACCCUUGUAGUC
rnacentral:rRNA from 1 species